rnacentral:rRNA from 1 species
GAACGUACGCUGGCGGCACGCCUAACACAUGCAAGUCGAACGAAGUAGCAAUACUUAGUGGCAGACGGGUGAGUAACAUGUAGGUAUCUGCCCUUUGGCCUGGAAUAACACGAGGAAACUUGUGCUAAUACCGGAUAAGUCUUUACGGAGAAAGCUUUAUGCACCAUUGGAUGAGCCUGCACUUGAUUAGUUUGUUGGUGGGGUAAUGGCCUACCAAGACUGUGAUCAAUAGCUGAUUUGAGAGGAUGAUCAGCCACAUUGGGACUGAGACACGGCCCAAACUCCUACGGGAGGCAGCAGUGGGGAAUCUUGCACAAUGGAGGAAACUCUGAUGCAGCGAUGCCGCGUGAGUGAAGAAGGCCUUUGGGUUGUAAAGCUCUUUCGUCGGGGAAGAAAAUGACUGUACCCGAAUAAGAAGGUCCGGCUAACUUCGUGCCAGCAGCCGCGGUAAUACGAAGGGACCUAGCGUAGUUCGGAAUUACUGGGCUUAAAGAGUUCGUAGGUGGUUGAAAAAGUUGGUGGUGAAAUCCCAGAGCUUAACUCUGGAACUGCCAUCAAAACUUUUCAGCUAGAGUAUGAUAGAGGAAAGCAGAAUUUCUAGUGUAGAGGUGAAAUUCGUAGAUAUUAGAAAGAAUACCAAUUGCGAAGGCAGCUUUCUGGAUCAUUACUGACACUGAGGAACGAAAGCAUGGGUAGCGAAGAGGAUUAGAUACCCUCGUAGUCCAUGCCGUAAACGAUGUGUGCUAGACGUUGGAAAUUUAUUUUCAGUGUCGCAGCGAAAGCGAUAAACACACCGCCUGGGGAGUACGACCGCAAGGUUAAAACUCAAAUGAAUUGACGGGGACCCGCACAAGUAGUGGAGCAUGUGGUUUAAUUCGAAGAUACGCGCAGAACCUUACCAACACUUGACAUGUUCGUCGCGACUCUAAGAGAUUAGAGUUUUCGGUUCGGCCGGACGAAACACAGGUGCUGCAUGGCUGUCGUCAGCUCGUGUCGUGAGAUGUUGGGUUAAGUCCCGCAACGAGCGCAACCCUCACUUUUAGUUGCCAUCAUUAAGUUGGGCACUCUGAAAGAACUGCCAGUGAUAAGCUGGAGGAAGGUGGGGAUGACGUCAAGUCCUCAUGGCCCUUACGUGUUGGGCUACACACGUGCUACAAUGGUAUCUACAACAGGAAGCAAGACUGCGAAGUUAAGCAAAUCCCUAAAAGAUACCUCAGUUCGGAUUGCACUCUGCAACUCGAGUGCAUGAAGCUGGAAUUACUAGUAAUCGUGGAUCAGCGUGCCACGGUGAAUGCGUUCCCGGGUCUUGUACACACUGC